AAAACAUAUUUAAAAGAACUUAUUAUUAAUAUUACCUGCUCAAUGACAUUUAAAUAGCCGCAGCUCAUACUGUGCUAAGGUAGCAUAAUCAUUUGUCUUUUAAUUAAAGACUAAAAUGAAAGGUUUAACAUUUAAAUUAUUUCAAAAUAUCAGUUCUUAAAUUUAUUUUAAAUGUAAAAAAACAUUUAUUUUUAAGAAAGACGACAAGACCCUAUUGAACUUUACUGAAGUUUAACUGGGGCAGUUAAUUAAUUAACAUUUUAAUCAUACUUUUUCUUUAAAUGACCCAAUAAGAUUGAUUUCAUGAUCAAGCUACCAUAGGGAUAACAGCAUAAUAUUUUUUUUAAAGAUCUUAUAUAAAAAAAUGAUUGCGACCUCUAUGUUGAAUUCAUUUUUCUAAUAAGCGCAAUCAACUUGAAAA
rnacentral:rRNA from 1 species